rnacentral:rRNA from 1 species
ACAUGCAGUCGAGCGGACAGAUGGGAGCUUGCUCCCUGAUGUUAGCGGCGGACGGGUGAGUAACACGUGGGUAACCUGCCUGUAAGACUGGGAUAACUCCGGGAAACCGGGGCUAAUACCGGAUGGUUGUUUGAACCGCAUGGUUCAGACAUAAAAGGUGGCUUCGGCUACCACUUACAGAUGGACCCGCGGCGCAUUAGCUAGUUGGUGAGGUAACGGCUCACCAAGGCGACGAUGCGUAGCCGACCUGAGAGGGUGAUCGGCCACACUGGGACUGAGACACGGCCCAGACUCCUACGGGAGGCAGCAGUAGGGAAUCUUCCGCAAUGGACGAAAGUCUGACGGAGCAACGCCGCGUGAGUGAUGAAGGUUUUCGGAUCGUAAAGCUCUGUUGUUAGGGAAGAACAAGUGCCGUUCAAAUAGGGCGGCACCUUGACGGUACCUAACCAGAAAGCCACGGCUAACUACGUGCCAGCAGCCGCGGUAAUACGUAGGUGGCAAGCGUUGUCCGGAAUUAUUGGGCGUAAAGGGCUCGCAGGCGGUUUCUUAAGUCUGAUGUGAAAGCCCCCGGCUCAACCGGGGAGGGUCAUUGGAAACUGGGGAACUUGAGUGCAGAAGAGGAGAGUGGAAUUCCACGUGUAGCGGUGAAAUGCGUAGAGAUGUGGAGGAACACCAGUGGCGAAGGCGACUCUCUGGUCUGUAACUGACGCUGAGGAGCGAAAGCGUGGGGAGCGAACAGGAUUAGAUACCCUGGUAGUCC